rnacentral:rRNA from 1 species
UACGUAGGCAGCGAGCGUUGUUCGGAAUUACUGGGCGUAAAGAGUGUGUAGGCGGCGCUCUAAGUUCGGUGUGAAAUCUCUCGGCUUAACUGGGAGGGUGCGCCGGAAACUGGAGUGCUCGAACGUGGGAGAGGAAAGCGGAAUUCCUGGUGUAGCGGUGAAAUGCGCAGAUAUCAGGAGGAACACCGAUUGCGAAGGCAGCUCGCUGGGACGUCACUGACGCUGAGACGCGAAAGCGUGGGGAGCGAACAGG